rnacentral:tRNA from 1 species
GCCUGGAUGGUUCAGUUGGUUGAACAUCCAACUCUUGGUUUGGGCUCAGGUCAUGAUCUCACGGUUUGUGGGUUCAAGCCCCGCAUCAGGCU